GAAGGGUUUGAUUAUGGCUCAGAUUGAACGCUGGCGGGAUGCUUUACACAUGCAAGUCGAACGGCAGCACGGACUUCGGUCUGGUGGCGAGUGGCGAACGGGUGAAGUAAUGUAUCCGGAACGUGCUAGUGGCGGGGGAUAACUACGCGGCGUAGCUAAUACCGCAUACGCGCUGAGGAAAGCGGGGGACCUUCGGGCCUCGCACUAUUAAGUGACCGACUCUCGGAUUAGCUAGUUGGUGGGGUAACGUCGCAAGGCGACGAUCCGUAGCUGGUUUGAGGGACGACCAGCCACACUGGGACUGAGACGGCCCAGACUCCUACGGGAGGCAGCGGUAAGAAUUUUGGAUAAAUGGAAACCUGAUCAGCCCAUCCCGCGUGUGCGAUGAAGGCCUUCAGGGUUGUAAAGCACUUUUGGCAGGAAAAACGCGCGGGAUAAUACCCGUGCAACUGACAGUACCACAGAAUAAGCACCGGCCUUACGUGCCAGCAGCCGCGGUAAUACGUAAGUGCAAUGUUAAUCGGAAUUACUGGGCGUAAAGCGUGCGCAGGCGGUUCGGAAGAAGAUGUGAAAUCCAGAGCUUAACUUUGGAACUGCAUUUUUUAACUACCGAGCUAGAGAGUGUGUCCAGAGGAGGUGGAAUUCCGCGUGUAGCAGUGAAAUGCGUAGAUAUGCGGAGGAACUGCCGAUAGCGAGCAGCCUCCUGGGAUAACACUGACGCUCAUGCACGAAAGCGUGAGGCAAACGGGAUUAGAUGCCCUGGUGAUCCCGCCUAAACGAUGUCAACUAGCUGUUUGGGGCCUUCCCAGGCCAUGGUGGCUGAAAGCUAGCGUGAAGUUGACCGCCUGCGGGGAUACGGUCGCAAGAUUAAAACUCCAAAGUUGACGGGACCCGCACAAGCGGUGGAUGAUGUGGAUUAAUUCGAUGCAACGCGAAAAACCUUACCUACCCUUGACAUGUCUGGAAUCCCGAAGAGAUUUGGGAGUGCUCGCAAGAGAACCGGAACACAGGUGCUGCAUGGCUGUCGAUGUGGCUCGUGUCGUGAGAUGUUGGGUUAAGUCCGCAACGAGCGCAACCCUUCGGCAUUAGUUGCUACGAAAGGGCGCAAUGAGACUGCGGUGACAAACCGGAGGAAGGUGGGGAUGACGUCAAGUCCUCAUGGCCCUUAUGGGUAGGGCUUCACACGUCAUACAAUGGUCAGGACAGAGGGUCGCCAACCCGCGAGAGGCCAAUCCCAGGAAACCGAUCGUAGUCCGGAUCAUGAUCUGCAACUCGACUGCGUGAUCAGAAUCGCCAAUAAUCGCGGAUCGGCAUGUCGCGGUGAAUACGUUCCCGGGUCUUGUACCCACCGCCGUCACACCAUGGGAGUGGGUUUUACCAGAAGUAGUUAGCCUAACCGUAAGGAGGCGAUUACUGCGGUAGGAUUCAUGACUGGGGUGAAGUCAGCAACAAAGGUAG
rnacentral:rRNA from 1 species